UACAGAGGUCCCAAGCGUUGUUCGGAUUCACUGGGCGUAAAGGGUGCGUAGGUGGCCAGGUAAGUUUGGUGUGAAAGCUCGGAGCUUAACUCCGAAAAGUCAUUGAAUACUAUCUGGCUGGAGGGUCGGAGGGGAGACUGGAAUUCUCGGUGUAGCAGUGAAAUGCGUAGAUAUCGAGAGAAACACCAGUGGCGAAGGCGAGUCUCUGGACGACUCCUGACACUGAGGCACGAAAGCUAGGGGAGCAAACAGG
rnacentral:rRNA from 1 species